rnacentral:rRNA from 1 species
UACAGAGGGUGCAAGCGUUAAUCGGAUUUACUGGGCGUAAAGGGCGCGUAGGUGGUUAUAUAAGUUGUUUGUGAAAUCCCCGGGCUUAACCUGGGAACUGCAAGCAAAACUGAAUAGCUUGAGUACUGUAGAGGGUAGUGGAAUUUCCGGUGUAGCGGUGAAAUGCGUAGAGAUCGGAAGGAACACCAGUGGCGAAGGCGGCUACCUGGACAGAUACUGACACUGAGGCGCGAGAGCGUGGGGAGCAAACAGG